rnacentral:rRNA from 1 species
UGGGGAAUUUUGGACAAUGGGCGAAAGCCUGAUCCAGCAAUGCCGCGUGUGUGAAGAAGGCCUUCGGGUUGUAAAGCACUUUUGUCCGGAAAGAAAUCCUUGGCUCUAAUACAGUCGGGGGAUGACGGUACUGGAAGAAUAAGCACCGGCUAACUACGUGCCAGCAGCCGCGGUAAUACGUAGGGUGCAAGCGUUAAUCGGAAUUACUGGGCGUAAAGCGUGCGCAGGCGGUUUGCUAAGACCGAUGUGAAAUCCCCGGGCUCAACCUGGGAACUGCAUUGGUGACUGGCAGGCUAGAGUAUGGCAGAGGGGGGUAGAAUUCCACGUGUAGCAGUGAAAUGCGUAGAGAUGUGGAGGAAUACCGAUGGCGAAGGCAGCCCCCUGGGCCAAAUACUGACGCUCAUGCACGAAAAGCGUGGGGAGCAAAACAGGAUUAGAUACCCCUGGGUAGUCCACGCCCUAAAACGAUGUCAACUAGUUGUUGGGGAUUCAUUUCCUUAGUAACGUAGCUAACGCGUGAAGUUGACCGCCUGGGGGAGUACGGUCGCAAGAUUAAAACUCAAAUGAAUUGACGGGGUCAUAGCUGUUUCCU